UACGUAGGGCGCAAGCGUUAUCCGGAAUUAUUGGGGCGUAAAGAGCUCGUAGGCGGUUUUGUCGCGUCUGCCCGUGAAAAGUCCGGGGCUCAACUCCGGAUCUGCGGUGGGUACGGGCAGACUAGAGUGAUGUAGGGGGAGACUGGAAUUCCUGGUGUAGCGGUGAAAUGCGCAGAUAUCAGGAGGAACACCGAUGGCGAAGGCAGGUCUCUGGGCAUUAACUGACGCUGAGGAGCGAAAAGCAUGGGGGAGCGAACAGG
rnacentral:rRNA from 1 species